CAGCCAACAUAAGGGCAUACACGUUAUUGAAAACAGCAGUGAUAAAUAUUCCCUUACCACCUUCACUUUGUAUAAUUGUGCAUAAAUGAUUAAUAAAUAUUAUAAAUAUCUGAGGGCUUAAAAUGCAUCCCUGGCGGGAACCCACAUUACAAGAAAAUUUAUUACCUGGUCU